UAUUAUUUAGGAAUAAUUCUAUAAUGGAGUUUGAACUACAGAUCAUUCAUCAAAAGAAAAUUUCCAAUUUAGUAUUUAUUUUUUUAGCUGGCUCGUUCGAUCUCUGGCCUCGAUAGCUGGAGUUUUUGUGGCUGUUGAACUGUUCAAUCUAUGCGCGCUGUAUCUGCAGAUACAUUUGUAUCUUGUGAACUCUUGUGUGUUUGCUUUGCUCAUGUGUGUGUGUGUGUGUGUGUGUGUGUGUGUGUGUGUGUGUGUAUGUGUGUCUCUGUGUGUUUUUCCCCAAAGCGACAGCGUAAAAAGUGGCAAGAAAAUUGAGCUCGAAGCUCACAAUCAUCAUUGGCUUUGUGCAAACACAAAACAAGGGGGUAUCAUCACAAGAGACGAAGGUGGGAGGAGGAGUAGGAGGAGGAGGGGAAUGCCACUGCUGCUGCCGUUGCUGCUAUCUACAAGAGAACACGAACAAGAACAACAAUAACAAGCGAAGAAUAGAGAGGGAGAAAUGAGGUGAGGCGUGGCGUGGCGAAAUGAUGCGAGGCAAGUUGAAGCUGCCACCAAUGCGAGAGUACGAGUAACAGAUACAGCUACAGAUGCAGAUACACAGCGGCAGAUACAGAUACGCACGACGACGCGCUCGUUUGGGUGUGUAUGUGUGUGU